rnacentral:lncRNA from 1 species
GAUCAUGAUGGGACUUUCCAAAAUAGGGUUGUCGGAAAUCGUGUGGUAGGAUGCCUCGUACUAUUCGUCCGUAAAUUAGAUUUUCUCAUGGGAAGGCUAGUGGUGGCGGUACGUGAAAGGCGGUCAUAGGAUGGAAAGAGUGUGGUUAAGACUACGUAAGAGAUGAAAGAUUUAAGUUUAUAGAUAUAAGAGAAGAAUUAUAUCCAUAUUUUGUUAGAAACCUAUUCAUUAUUGCUCUGACCUCGUAUGUACCUGAUGAAUCAGUAAGUAUGAAAGAUUUUCUAUGGGAAACAUGGAUCUUGCGGGAGACUCGUCAAAAAAAUAAAUUGAUCGUUGGUAUGAUCGCUAUGCAGAUUUUGCAGUGUUGCCGAAUUAUCUACUUCUGUGUAGCCACACCACGGCCCAACUUACAUGUGGGCUAACC